CAGCCGCCACGGGAAUACGUAGGUGGCAAGCGUUGUCCGGAAUUAUUGGGCGUAAAGGGCUCGCAGGCGGUUUCUUAAGUCUGAUGUGAAAGCCCCCGGCUCAACCGGGGAGGGUCAUUGGAAACUGGGAAACUUGAGUGCAGAAGAGGAGAGUGGAAUUCCACGUGUAGCGGUGAAAUGCGUAGAGAUGUGGAGGAACACCAGUGGCGAAGGCGACUCUCUGGUCUGUAACUGACGCUGAGGAGCGAAAGCGUGGGGAGCGAACAGGAUUAGAUACCCCGGUAGUCCCUGUCUCUUAUAU
rnacentral:rRNA from 1 species